UUGGAGGGCAAGUCUGGUGCCAGCAGCCGCGGUAAUUCCAGCUCCAAUAGCGUAUAUUAAAGUUGUUGCAGUUAAAAAGCUCGUAGUUGAAUUUCGGGAUUAAUAUGCUGGUCGUGCCAUUGGUACGUACUAGUAUUAUUGAUUUCUCCCUUCUGAUGAAUCAUGAUGUCAUUAAUUUGAUGUCAUGGGGAAUCAGGACUGUUACUUUGAAAAAAUUAGAGUGUUUAAAGCAGGCUCGCGCUUGAAUACAUUAGCAUGGAAUAAUGAAAUAGGACGUUUGAUUCUAUUUUGUUGGUUUCUAGGAUUGACGUAAUGAUUAAUAGGGAUAGUUGGGGGCAUUAGUAUUCAAUUGUCAGAGGUGAAAUUCUUGGAUUUAUUGAAGACUAACUACUGCGAGAGCAUUUGCCAAGGAUGUUUUCAUUAAUCAAGAACGAAAGUUAGGGGAUCGAAGACGAUCAGAUACCGUCGUAGUCUUAACCAUAAACUAUGCCGACUAGGGAUCGGAUGAUGUUAAUUAUGACUCAUUCGGCGCCUUACGGGAAAC
rnacentral:rRNA from 1 species